rnacentral:snoRNA from 1 species
AUUAUGUGAUGAAUGAAACUAGCUAACUAUGACUGGCAAUGAAAACACAUGAAUACCUGAGAAAC